CAGGUGAUCCGCCCGCUUUGGCCUCCCAAAGUAUUGAGGUUACAGGCAUGAGCCACCACACCCGACAGUGAGAAGCUUUUUGAAACAAGCAACCCUCUCUUCUCCUUUGUAAAUGCCACCUAUAAGCAACAAUUUUCAGAGUAGGAGCUUAAUAUAGGCUGACGGUUGGAGUGAAAGACUGCUCAAUACUGAGAGGGAACAUAGCAUUGAAGAAGGCUUUCUUUGAGUAAAGGGAAUUAGAAGAGGGAUUAAGCCAAAAAAAUGUAAUGUCAUGGAGACCACACAGAAGAUGGGAGCCUUCACACGCAGGGUGAAAUACGGCAGUGGCUGUGCUGUCAGGCUAGACCAAAAAACUAUUAUCCCAUUAAAAUGCUUCUCCUCUGGCUCCUUUGCAAGGUGGCAGAGCUGUAAAAAUGUUGUGCAUUAUUUCCUGGCAAAUCAUGAUGGAAAUGCUGUGGAAUUGUGCAUGAGAACUUAAAGGAUUCAUCACGGUUUAUUCCAUUAAAAUAAACACCAAAGAAAGUAAUAAUGAGACUAGUAAAGAACUACAAUACCUUGGAGUCCCACGAGCAUUUUAUGACACAAGGAGCCCACGAAACAGAUUGGAAAAAGGGGAAAGCCUGCAGAAUAGAUGGCAACUUCACUAACAUCUUUAUUUAUUUUUUAAAAAUUGUAUCUAUUCCUAUGCUCUAAUGAUCUAGAAUUUUCAGCGAAUCCCUGGGAAACUUAAAGAAUGCUGUGAGAGCAUUCUUGUUUAAAUAUUUAAGAAAAGAGACAUUUACUUUCAUAAAGAAGAACAUAUGGCCUUGUUUGUUACUGUGAAUCCUUGGUUCUAACUACUGCUGUCACCCAGGCAUGUGUUCCCAACAUUAACCUUUGUCUGAACUAUUCUUAUCCCUAUGUAGGUGUAUUCUAUAUCUGCAUCUUCCAUUAAGCCUUCAACUACCAUUUAACACACACACACACACACUCUCACACACACACACACACGCACACACAAAUUGGCCCCCAAGUAUUUUUAGGUUUCAAGCCUCUUGUUUUUCACAUGUUAGACUCAUGGACCUUAUAUUUAAGUAUAUUUUCUGCACCUGCUGUCUGCCCAGAUCUCUCCCUUAAUUGACCUGAGGUCUCUCCUCUCUCUGAUGCUGAAGGGUCUGCUUAGGGUGAAAGGAUUUUCUAUACUGUGGUGAUUACAAAAAUGUAUGAUUGAAGUUUAUUAUAUGUCAAUGAUGUCCUGGUUUUUUAAUAACGGGAUUUAUCCUAAUAACCUUGAAAUAAAUAAAAUACAACAUUCA